rnacentral:rRNA from 1 species
ACGUAGGGGGCGAGCGUUGUCCGGAAUUACUGGGCGUAAAGGGCGUGUAGGCGGUUGGAUAAGUCUGGUGUGAAAUACCAUGGCUCAACUAUGGUGCUGCGCCGGAAACUGUCUGACUGGAGUUCGGUAGGGGUGACUGGAAUCCCUGGUGUAACGGUGAAAUGUGUAGAUAUCAGGGGGAACACCUGUGGCGAAGGCGGGUCACUGGGCCGCAACUGACGCUGAGACGCGAAAGCGUGGGGAGCAAACAG